rnacentral:rRNA from 1 species
UACGGAGGGUGCAAACGUUGCUCGGAAUUAUUGGGCGUAAAGAGCUCGUAGGCGGCUUGUCGCGUCGGAUGUGAAAGCCCGGGGCUUAACUCCGGGUCUGCAUUCGAUACGGGCAGGCUAGAGUUCGGUAGGGGAGAUCGGAAUUCCUGGUGUAGCGGUGAAAUGCGCAGAUAUCAGGAGGAACACCGGUGGCGAAGGCGGAUCUCUGGGCCGAUACUGACGCUGAGGAGCGAAAGCGUGGGGAGCGAACAGG